GACGAACGCUGGCGGCGUGCUUAACACAUGCAAGUCGAACGGAAAGGCCCUGCUUUUGUGGGGUGCUCGAGUGGCGAACGGGUGAGUAACACGUGAGUAACCUGCCCUUGACUUUGGGAUAACUUCAGGAAACUGGGGCUAAUACCGGAUAGGAGCUCCUGCUGCAUGGUGGGGGUUGGAAAGUUUCGGCGGUUGGGGAUGGACUCGCGGCUUAUCAGCUUGUUGGUGGGGUAGUGGCUUACCAAGGCUUUGACGGGUAGCCGGCCUGAGAGGGUGACCGGCCACAUUGGGACUGAGAUACGGCCCAGACUCCUACGGGAGGCAGCAGUGGGGAAUAUUGCACAAUGGGCGGAAGCAUGAUGCAGCAACGCAGCGUGCGGGAUGACGGCCUUCGGGUUGUAAACCGCUUUCGCCUGUGACGAAGCGUGAGUGACGGUAAUGGGUAAAGAAGCACCGGCUAACUACGUG
rnacentral:rRNA from 1 species